rnacentral:ncRNA from 1 species
AAAUAAAUGCAAUGUGCUAAGCUGGCUAACGCUGUACUCCAGCCAGAAAUGAUGGAAUAGGGCUCAAGCUCUCUCUCUCUCUCUCUUUUUUUUUUUUUUUUUUUUUUUGAAUCAGAGCUAUGAUUAUGAGCAAUGGCUGGGGCUGUUCAUAUUGUACCACUUUAACUGAAAUUAUUGAACCAGUGCAAAAUGAACUAAAGCAAAAGUAUUUGCCAAUAAUGUUCUCAUU